rnacentral:rRNA from 1 species
UUGGAGGGCAAGUCUGGUGCCAGCAGCCGCGGUAAUUCCAGCUCCAAUAGCGUAUAUUAAAGUUGUUGCAGUUAAAAAGCUCGUAGUUGAAUUUCGGGAUCAAAUAAUCGGUCGUGCCUCCGGUACGUACUGGUUUUAUUGGUUCCUCCCUUCUGACGAACCAUGAUGUCAUUAAUUUGAUGUGGUGGAGAAUCAGGACUGUUACCUUGAAAAAAUUAGAGUGUUUAAAGCAGGCUAACGCUUGAAUACAUUAGCAUGGAAUAAUGAAAUAGGACGUUCGACCCUAUUUUGUUGGUUUCUAGGAUCGACGUAAUGAUUAAUAGGGAUAGUUGGGGGCAUUAGUAUUCAAUUGUCAGAGGUGAAAUUCUUGGAUUUAUUGAAGACUAACUACUGCGAAAGCGUUAGUCACGAAGUAGUUUCGUUAUUAAUUACUAACGAAACGGAAAACGGUUAAAGGGGGUUAAGGGUACGUAACGGAAACGGAACGUACUACGAAGUAACCG